GUGUAGCCAGCCAGCCAGGUAGAAAAAUGGCAGAAAAAUAAAAAAGACGGACAUCAGAGUAUUUUUCAGUACACCAAAACGCAAAGUAAGAACCCUAGUAGCCUAAUAUCUCAAAGACUAGUUGAUAAAAUGUUCAUAAGAAAGAAAUCAAAUUCUAAUGGAAAUGUUUCACAAUGAUGUCAUUAGGCAGAGCAGGCAACAGAUGGCACACAGACAGCAGAGUUGGGGACAGAUAUGCAGGGACAGACUGGCAGAGACAGGGAGUCUCAGUGCCCCCCAGAGUUUCACAGCAAACAUGCCAGAGUCACUGCCAGAAUCUGUGACGGUUCAUCCAGGAGCACCUGUGUCUUCACUGACAGAUUGAUGACUUCAAUCAGUAACACCAAAACUCGCUAUAGCUCGAUUGAAAUUCAAAGGCAAUGUUCUCGAAGACUGGAAAUGACCUUUACAUUUCAAGCGCGCUAUUUUCAGCAAUCACAAUCCUUGUAAAAACGUCAACUCAUGGUAUAACUAAUAACGUUUAUUUUACAUUUUAUUAUGUCAGUGUGGUUAUAAGCCGCUAUAGCUCUGAAGUUCGAGUGUGUGUGUGUGUGUGUGUUGUAGUAGUAGGCCAUUAUUUCUUCGAACAUCUCAGUUUGGGCAGCAGCCACUGGAGAAACCUGUCAAUCAAACACAACAGGAG
rnacentral:lncRNA from 1 species